UAGAGCAUUGAGAGGACCUUUCCCUAGUAUGAGAGGACCGGGAAGGAUGCACCUCUGGUGUACCAGUUAUCGUGCCCACAGUAGACGCUGGGUAGACAAGUGCAGAACGGAUAACUACUGAAAGCAUAUAAGUAGGAAGCCCACCCCAAGAUGAGUGCUCUCCUAUUCUUACUUCCUUGAGAUCCCUAGUCGCGAACAUGGCUGGGACAAUGAUGGGUUCUCUAUCCUUGCAGGGGAUGGAGCGACAAAAGUAUUGAUAAUCCAAGAUAAGGUCACGGUGAGACAAACCAUUUAUCAUUACGAUAGGUGUCAAGUGGAAGUGCAGUGAUGUAUGCAGCUGAGGCAUCCUAAUAGACCAAGAGAUUUGAACCU
rfam:Picea glauca, whole genome shotgun sequence.